UGGGGAAUUUUGGACAAUGGACGCAAGUCUGAUCCAGCCAUGCCGCGUGCGGGAAGAAGGCCUUCGGGUUGUAAACCGCUUUUGUCAGGGAAGAAACGAGUUUCUCUAAUACAGAGACUUAAUGACGGUACCUGAAGAAUAAGCACCGGCUAACUACGUGCCAGCAGCCGCGGUAAUACGUAGGGUGCAAGCGUUAAUCGGAAUUACUGGGCGUAAAGCGUGCGCAGGCGGUUAUGAAAGACAGAUGUGAAAUCCCCGGGCUCAACCUGGGAACUGCAUUUGUGACUGUAUAGCUAGAGCACGGCAGAGGGGGAUGGAAUUCCGCGUGUAGCAGUGAAAUGCGUAGAUAUGCGGAGGAACACCGAUGGCGAAGGCAAUCCCCUGGGCCUGUAGUGACGCUCAUGCACGAAAGCGUGGGGAGCAAACA
rnacentral:rRNA from 1 species